rnacentral:lncRNA from 1 species
UACCAUAGCCUGUUAGUGUAAAGUACACAUCUAACUAGCAUCUUAGAUUAGAUAAUGUCACUGAAACCUAUCUUUAGCAUAAAUGACUUAGUCACCUUUUAUUGGAAAGGAUGAUGAGCCAGUAAUAUUCUGAGUUUAAUACAUAUUGAUGUAUUUGCACUCAUAAACAUAAAUACUAAAAGAGGGCUUACUAGUUUAUUAAAAUCUCUAAUGACCUAUC